rnacentral:tRNA from 1 species
GCCCAUGUAGCUCAGUGGUAGAGCACUCCCUUGGUAAGGGAGAGGUC